rnacentral:rRNA from 1 species
UACGUAGGGUGCGAGCGUUAAUCGGAAUUACUGGGCGUAAAGCGUGUGCAGGCGGUCUGUUAAGACAGGUGUGAAAUCCCCGGGCUUAACCUGGGAAUGGCGCUUGUUACUGGCAGACUAGAGUGCGUCAGAGGGGGGUGGAAUUCCACGUGUAGCAGUGAAAUGCGUAGAUAUCAGGAGGAAUACCGGUGGCGAAGGCGGCAUCCUGGACCGGCAUUGACGCUGAGUGAGCGAAAGCCAGGGGAGCAAACGGG